rnacentral:rRNA from 1 species
AUGAACGCUGGCGGCGUGCUUAACACCUGCAAGUCGAACGGAACUACUCCAAUGAGAGUCUUCGGAAAGGAUUUGGUUUAGUUUAGUGGCGGACGGGUGAGUAACGCGUGGGUAACCUGCCCUAUACAGGGGGAUAACAGUUGGAAACGACUGUUAAUACCGCAUAAGCGCACAGGAGCGCAUGCUCCGGUGUGAAAAACUCCGGUGGUAUAGGAUGGACCCGCGUCUGAUUAGCUGGUUGGCGGGGUAACGGCCCACCAAGGCGACGAUCAGUAGCCGGCCUGAGAGGGUGAACGGCCACAUUGGGACUGAGACACGGCCCAAACUCCUACGGGAGGCAGCAGUGGGGAAUAUUGCACAAUGGGGGAAACCCUGAUGCAGCGACGCCGCGUGAGCGAAGAAGUAUCUCGGUAUGUAAAGCUCUAUCAGCAGGGAAGAAAAUGACGGUACCUGACUAAGAAGCCCCGGCUAACUACGUG